UUGAAAACGGAGUUUUGCUACUUGAAAACGGAGUUUUGCCAUUUGAAAAAGGAGUUUUGCUAUUUGAAAAGGGAGUUUUGCUAUUUGAAAAGGGAGUUCUGCUAUUUGAAAAGGGAUUUUGCUAUUUGAAAAGGGAGUUUUGCUAUUUGAAACGAGUGUUUUGCUAUUUGAAAAGGGAGUUUUGCUAUUUGAAAAGGGAGUUUUGCUAUUUGAAAAGGGAGUUUUGCUACUUGAAAAGGGAGUUUUGCUAUUUGAAAAGGGAGUUUUGCUACUUGAAAACGGAGUUUUGCUAUUUGAAAAGAGAGUUUUGCUACUUGAAAAAAGAG
rnacentral:lncRNA from 1 species